UGGCUUCAAGUGAUCCACUUGUCACGAACUCCCAAAGUGCUGGGAUUACAGGUGAGCCACUGCACCUGGCCUAGGUACUAUUCUUUUAUCAUUUACUACCAUAAAAUAUAUACAAGUCUAUCAUAUGUUAAAAUUUAUGAAAACUUAAGCUCACUACAUGGCGCCAUUCACAGUUGAGAAAUGUAAACCAAUGUAAAGCCAUAUUAAAUCAUAACUGCAUAAAAUACUGUUCUAUAAUAUAGCCAUCUGUUGCUACUAUGAGCUCAAGUGUUGCUAGUAUCCACUUAAAACACCAUGUGUGACACUUAUCACUGUUUUAUAGCCUAUUACUGGUUAUGUUUUGGGGGACUCAAAAGUUUUAUGUGAAUUUUUGAUUGGCAGUCAUUGUUCAGGGGUCACCUUAGUGAAUUAACUGCAAAGUGAGCAAUUUUGUAUCCGUGACACAGGUCAAGAGAACAGAACAGUGCCAGUACUCCAGAAGCUUCCUCAUGACCCCUUGUGGUCACUAUCCUGUCCCACUUCCCUCUCCAAAAGCAGCAAGAAGAAUAGGCAGCUACAUGUCUUCAUUCCCCAUGGAAAGAUUACAAGUAGAGACUGACUAAAGAAAACUUUAUGGGAACUCUGAAAGGCAAAGGUCUACAAGAACCAAGCUAAUGCCCAAUCAAGGAAAAGUCACAUUCAAAAUGGUAAGAAAUUUUGUGGUAGUUUUACUCAGGCUUGCCCCACCCUCUCCACAGUGUGGUAGUGUUGGGAGGAAGCAGCAGCCCAGGUACCAGUGACCUCCCUCAAGUAGGAGGGAGCAGGACAGAUCUUAUUUGCAACAUUUUGGGGGCUGCUGAAGAACUGGUCUCUGUUUUGCCUAACUUGGAGCUUGGAUGAGGAAAAGUGGUAUACUUAGAGCGCAGCCUUGGAAAAGCCAUAGAAAGUGGUGGGUAACUGAAAGCUGCAGGACUGCAGACCUAUGGACUAGAACAAGGUACAGGAAGACUCUUUGGAAAAGUAAAAAAUUUAAAAGCGUGGUGUAACAGAAUAAAAACAAAUACACACAGGGCCUCAGGCAAGACCCUUACCAAGCAAAGUCCUGGAGGGUCUUUGGGGCUUCAUCGUGGGAUGAUGCUAAAGGUCAGAACACAUCUUACUAGUGAGUGGAGGUCCCUCCUGGCAUGGAGCCAGUCUGCAAAGACUGGGAAACUUGGCUGUUUUUCAGAUGUCCAGUUUUCAACAAAAGAUCACAAGGCAUACAAAGAACAAAACAUGGUCUAUUCAUAGGAAAAAAUGUGCAGAAACUGUCCCUUAACCUAAAGCAUCAGAUGUACUAAAGACUUCAAAAUACACUCAAAGAACUAAAGGAGAACACAGAAAAACCAAACAAAAUUGGAAAUCAACUAAGAAAUUAUUUUAAGCACCAAAUUCCAACAGGCACUUCAGGACAGCUGACUAGAAGCAUUUAGUAGUUGCCGCCUCCACCAAGAAGAACCACAGUGGUGAGUAGAUAAUCACACUUCAAAUAGAUCAUCCAAGAGAGAAUACUGGAAGUCAACAGCAAAGGGAUAGGAAAUACUUAAGAAGGAAGUGGGAACGCCUGCCUGUCCAGGAAUGUCUAGCAGUCAAAAGGGACUCCCCAGUACAGGGAAAAGGUAAGUGACAGACCAUCAGCAGUCCACAUUUCUACCAUGGACUCCUGCAACCCUACCAUGGGAGAGCCCCUUGAUCGUCACAGGCCCUGAAAUUAACAUAGGGAGCUGCCAGGAGAUUAUACUAUGGCACUGCUUCAGGGAGGAAGCUCACACUGGGUUUCACACACACCUUAAGACGUAAGCAGCUAAAGCAAGGCACUGUCUUAGAGCCUCCCAACAGUAGACCAUGUAUGUUCUGGAACCCAGCAAUGCCAGGGCUUGAGGCACAAGAGAAGUAUGGCUGCUGCUUCUAGGGUUUAGGCAUGAGCAACCUUGGGCAGUCAUACCAGGUCUGAGGCAUGGGUGAGGCACAGGCUACCCCAGCAUAAGCUAUUGCAUGAGUGAUACACGUGUUCCCCAUCUGCUGGCCUAGGCUGCCCACCACUGAAGGCUGCUGCCACCUACCACCAAAGCAUUCCACAGGUGGCUGGCAAGCAUACUCCUGCCUACCAUGGUUGGCACCUGAACUCACCACCAGGCAGCCUGAAGACAAGCCCACCUGGCCUGGCUUCACCUCCCCCUGACCCUGUGCCACAGCGUCACAGUACACAAUCCAAGGACCAAAGGAUUGCUUAGUACACUCCACCCCCAUUGGCACCUGAACACUCCUGCAAGGGGCCUGAGGUUGGGCCUACCCACCAGGCCACUACCAGCACUGAUGCACACCACUUGGACCCAGAUUGUUGUCCUACCACUAUUCCCGUCAUUGCCCAUGCCAUGCCAGCCACCCAGGGGACCAAGAACCUGCCUGACUGACUCAUUGCUGCCACUAUUAGCGCUUGAGUAAGCCACCUGGAGGCCCAAGAAUUAGCCUGCAUGGACCCACUAACACCAGUGCCAGCUUCCCUUGCCUUGAGCCAAGUGCAGACACAGCCCACUGUUGCCAGUAAUGGAGCCAAAAGACUAACCAACAUGGCAUACCAGGCCCCAGCAAAACAUCACCAAAGCCUCCACUAAUAACCUCACUCUAAGCCACCAAGGAAAUCACAGAUACCAUUGACUCCAUUUACUACUGAAUAAAUGAUACAGUAUGCUACUGCGUACACCCAGAAUCAAAGGGAAAGUGUCCUACCCAACCAGCAUCAUAGACACACCUUCAGGAAAAAGUCCUCUACAAAAGCAAAGUCAAAAAUUUGGAAGAAGCAACUGUUAUACCGAUGUAUAGAUAUCAACAUAGGAACAAAGAAAACAUGAAAAGUCAAGGAAAUUUGACAGCUCUAAAGGAACACUAAUUCUGCAAUAACAGAUUCCAAUCAAAAAUUCAUAAAAUCCAGGGGAAAAACUGAUUCUAAAGCAGCUCAGUGAGAUACACAAAAACUCUUAAAAAAAAAAAACCAAAAAUGUAAAGAUAUGAAUGAGAAAUUUACCACACAGAUCGAUGAUAUCAUAAAAAAGAAAAAAGCCAAUUCUGGAAUACAAGAAUUCAUUGGAUGAAAUACAAAAUACAUCCAAAAUCUUAAACAACCAAUUAGGUCAAGCAGAAGAAAUAAUCUCAGAACUUGAAGACAAGUCUUUUGAAAUAACUCAGGCAAAAAUAGAAAAUAAAAAGUAAUGAGCAAAAACUUCAUGACAUAUGGGACAACACAAAGCAAUGAAAUACUUGAAUUAUCAGGGUCCCAGAAGGCAAAGAGGGGAGAACUUUUCUAGUCUAGCAAGAGAUUUAGAUAUCCAGAUACAGGAGAUUCAGAGAUCCCUAAACAGAUAACAGUGCAAAAAGGUCCUCUCCAUAGCACAUUAUAGUCAAACUCAAAAGUCAAAGACAAGGAGAGAAUUCUAAAAACAAGAGAAAAGUGUCUAGUACCUAUAAAGGAACUCCCAUCAGAAUAACAGCAGACUUCUCAGCAGAAAUGUUACAUGCCAAGAGAGAAUAGGAUGAUGAUAUAUUCAAAAUGCUGACAGAAAAAAAAAAGCCCUGACAGCCAAAGAUACUAUAUCCAGAAAAAUUAUCCUUGCUAAAUAAAGGAAAAAUAAAAUAUUUCCUAGACAAGCAAAAGCUGAGAGAAUCACCACUACACCAGCCUUACAGAAAGGCUCAAGAGAAUCUUAAACGUGGAAGGGAACAGAUGCCAUUUACCAUCAUGAAAACAGGAAAGUAAAAAACUCACUGGAAAAGCAAAUGCACAAGUGAAAAGAACAAACUCACAUGGUACCACUACAGAAAACCACCAAACCACAAUUACAAUAAGAGAAAAAGAACAGGCCAGGCACAGUGGCUCAUGCCUGUAAUCCCAGUACUUUGGGAGGCCGAGGGGGGGAUCACAAGGUCAGGAGAUCAAGCCCAUCCUGGCUAACAUGGUGAAACCCCGUCUCUACUAAAAAUGCAAUAAAUUAGCCGGGCAUGGUGGUGGGCACCCAUAGCCCCAGCUACUGGGGAGGCUGAGGCAGGAGUAUGGCAAGAACCUGGGAGGCAGAGCUUGCAGUGAGCCGAGAUCGCACCACUGCACUCCAGCCUGGGUGACAGAGCAAGACUCUGUCUCUAAAAACAAAAACAAAAACAAAAAAAAAACAAAAAAAGAAUAUACAAAACAACCUAAAAACAACAGUAUGACAGAAACAAAACCUGACAUACUAGUAAUAACCUUAAAUGUAAAUCAGUUAAAUAUUGCAUUUAAAAGAUAUAGACUGCCUGAUGGGUAAAAAAACAUAACCCAACUGUAUGCUAACUACAAGAAAUGCACUUUACCUAUAGAAUUACAACAAAGAGAAGGGAAAACAUACUCCAUGCAAAGAGACAGACUCCAAUACAAUAAUAGUGGGGUGCUUCAACACCCUACUCUUAAGCAUUAGAUCAUCUAGACAAAAAAAAACAGCCAACAAAGAAACAUUGGAUUUAAACUGACCUUUGGAUCAAAUGGGCCUAACAUUAACACAGAACAUUUUAUCAAACAUUUGCAGAAUACACAUUCUUCUUUUUAGCACACAGAACAUUCUCCAAGAUAGACCAUAUUUUAGGCCAAAAAAAUAAGCCUCAACAAAUUUAAAGUAUCUUUUCAGACCACAAUGGGACAAUACUAGAACAUAAUGCUAAGAGGAAUUUUGAAAACUAUACACACAUAUAGAAAUUAAAUAACAUGAUCCUGAACAACCUAAUUAGGUCAAUGAAGAAGAAAUAAAAACAUUUAUUGAAACAAAUGAAAGUGGAAAUACAACAUCUUCAAACCUGUGGGAUACAGGAAAAGCAGUACUAAAAGGGAAAUUUAUAGCAAUAAAUGCCUGCUGCAAAAAAGAUUUCAACUAAAAACUCUAAUGAUGCACUUCAAGGAACUAGAAAAACAAAAACAAACCUAAUUGAAAAUUAGCAGAAAUAGGCCAGGAAUGAUGGCUCACGCCUGUAAUCCCAGCACUUCGGGAGGCCAAGGCAGGUGGAUCACGAGGUCAGGAGUUUGAGACCAGCCUGGCCAAGAUGGUGAAACCCAGUCUCUACUAAAAAUACAAAAUUUAGCCGGGUCUGGUGGCGGCUGCCUGUAAUCCCAGCUAGUCAGGAGGCUGAGGCAGGAGAACUGCUUGAACCCAGGAGGCAGAGGUUGCAGUGAGCUGAGAUCGCACCACUGCACUCCAGCCUGGGUGACAGACCAAGAGUCAGUCUCAGAAAAAAAAAAUUACCAGAAAUAAAGAUCAGAGGCGAAGUAAAUGAAGUAGAAAGUUAGAAAAUAACAAAGAAUCAAUGAAAUGAAGUUGGUUCUUCAAAAAAAAAACAAAACUGAUAAACUUAGCUAGAGUAAGAGAGAAGACCCAAAUAAAAUUAGAAAUGACGAAAGAGAUAUUACAACUAAUACCACAGAAAUACAAAACUUCCCAGACACUUAUAUGAACAAUAUGCUAACAAACUGGAAAAAUCUAGAGGAAAUGGAUAAAUUCCUGGACACAUACAACCUAACAAGAUUGAAACAGGAUGAAAUCAAAAACCGGAAGAGACCAAUAACAGGUAAUGAGAUGGAAGCAGUAAUAAAGUCUUCUGACAAUGCCCAGCACUGGAUGGAUUCACUGCCGAAUUCUACGAAACAUAAAAAAGAACUAAUACCAUAGCUGCAUGUGCUGGCAUGCUUGUAAUCACAGCUACUCUGGAGGCAAUCCCAACUACUCAGGAGAUUGAGGUAGGAGGACUGCUUGAGCCCAUGAGUUUGAGACUAGCGUGGGCAACACAGUGAAACCCCAUCUCAAAAAACAAAAACAAAAGUAAUACCAGUCUUUCUCAAACUAUUCCAGAAGAUUAAAGCAUCAGGGAUUCUUCCUAACUCAUUCUAUAAGGCCAGCAUUACCCUGAUUUCAAAAAGAGAUAAGGACAUAACAGCAACAACAACAAAAAAAUUGACAGGCCAGUGUCCCUGAUGACUCUAGAUGCAAAACUGAACAAAAUACUAGCAAAGUGAAUUCAAGAACACAUCAAAAAGAUAACACACCAUAAUCAAGUGGGAUUUACCUCAGGGAUGCAAGGAUGGUUCAACAUACACAAAUCAAUAAAAGUGAUACAUCACAUCAACAGAAUGAAGGACCAAAAGCAUAGGAUCAUCUCAAUAGACACAGAAAAAGCAUGUGAUAAAUUUCAAGAUCUCUUCAUGACUAAAGACUCAACAAACUAGGUAUAGAAGGAACAUGUCAAAAUAAGAAAGGCCAUAUAUGAAAAACCCAUAGCUAACAUCAUACUAAUGGAAAAGUGUUAAAGGCCUUUCCUCUAAGAAAUGGAACAAGACAAAGAUACCCAUUUUCACUACUCCUAUUCAACAUAGUACUGGAUGUACUAGCCAGAGCAAUCAGGUAAGAGAAGAAAAUAAAAGACAUCCAAAUUGGAAAAGAGGAAGCCAAACUGUCCCACUUGGCAUAUGACACAAUCUUAUAUUUAGAAAAUGAAAAGAAUCAACCAGAAAACUAUUACAGCUGAUAAGCAAAUUGAGUAAAGUUGCAAGAUAAAAAAGCAACAUACAAAAGUCAGUGACAUUUGCCUACACUGAUAAUGAAAUAGCCAAAAAGGAAAUCAAGAAAGCAAUUCCAUUUACAAUAGCUACAAAAAUAAUAAAAUACAUAGGAAUAUAUUUAACAAAGGAGGUGAAAAAUCUCUACAAAACACUGAUGAAUGAAGUUGAGGAGGACAAAACAAAUGGAAAGACAUUUCAUGCUCACGGAUCAGAAGAAGAAUGUUAAAGUGAGCAUGCUUCCCAAAGCAAUAUACAGAUUAAAUGCAAUCCCUAUCAAAAUACCAGUCAUUUUUUACAGAAAUAGAAAAAAAAAAUCCUAAGAUUCAUAUAGAACCAAUAAAGAGCUAGAAUAGCCAAAGCAAUCCUGACCAAAAAGAACAAAGGUGGAGACAUCACACUACCUAACUUCAAAUUAUAUUACAAGGGUAUAGUAUCCAAAACAUCAUGGUAUUGGCAUGAAAAUAGACACAUAAACCAACGGAACAGAACAGAAAACACAGAAUAAAUCCAUGUAUUUACAACCAGCUGAAAUCCUAGCACUUUGGGAGGCCAAGGUGGGCUGACUGCUUGAGUCCAGGAGUCUGAGACCAGCCUGGGAAACAUGGCAAAACCAUGUCUUUACAAAAAAUAGAAAUCAGCUGAGCAUGGUGGUGCAUGCCUGUCAUCCCAGCUACUGAGGAGACUGAGAGGUAGGAGGAGCACUUGAGGCUGGGAGGUCAAGGCUGCAGUGAGCUGUCAUCACACCACUGCACUCUAGCUUGGGUGAAAGAUUUUUUUUGCCUUAGUCUAGGGAAGACUUUAUGUCUAAAACCUCCAGUGCACAGACAACAAAAACAAAUGGACAUACCUGGUUAUUCCUUCCAGUAACAUAAAAAAUAGACAAAUGGGACUCUAUUAAACUGAAAUCUGCACUGUAAAAGAAACAGUGAAGACACAAACCUGUUGAAUAGGAGAAUAUAUUUGCAAACAUCCUCUGACAAAGGACUAACAGGCUACAUAAGGAACACAACAAUUUGUGAAAACACCAUUAAAAAGUGGGCAAAGAACUGAAUAGAUAGUUCUCAAAAGAAGACAUACAAAUGGCCAAUAAGUACAUUAAAAAGGCUCAACAUCAUCAGUCAUCAGGGAAAUGCAAACCAAAAUCACAGUGAGAUAUCUUAUCUCAGAAUGGCUAAUCAUUAAAAGACAGAUGCUGGCAAGAAGGCAGAGAAGAGGCAACUCUUACCCACUCUUGGUGGGAAUGUAAAUUAGUAUAGUCACUAUGGAAAACAGUAUGGAGAUCUCUCAAAAAACUAAAAUUAGAACUACCACACUAUCCAGCAAACCCAUUACUGGAUAUCUAUCCAAAAGGAAGGAAAUCAGUCUACCAAAAGGAUACCCUCAUUUACAUGUAUAUUGCAGCACUAUUCACAAUAGCAAAGAUAUGGAAUCAACCUAAGUGUCCAUCGAUACAUGAAUGGAUAAAGAAAAUGUGGUAUAUAUACACAAUGGAAUACUAUUUGGCCAUUAAUAAUGAAAUCAUGUCAUUUGCAACAACAUGGAUGGAACUGGAGGUCAUUAUGUUAAGUAAAAUAACACGGGCACAGAAAGACAAAUACAACAUGUUCUCAGUUGUGUAGGACCUAAAAACUUGAUAUCAUGGAGAUAGAGAAUAGAAUACCAGAGGUGGGGAGUGUGUGACUGGGAAAUGAAGAGGCUGGUGAAUGGGUACAGACUUAGAUAGAAUACAUCCUAAUGUUCACUAUUAGAGUAGGAUGAUUAUAGUUAGCAACAAUAUAUUGUAUAUUUCAAAAUAACUAGAAGCGAGGAUUUGAAAUAUUCCCAACACAUAGAAAUGAAAAAUAACCUGACAGAUACUCAUAUUACACGUGUAAUAUGUGUAAUACUCAUGAGUAUUACACAUAUUACAUAUUCUAUGUAUGUGCUCCAUAAAUAUGUAAAACAUUGUGUCAAUAAGAAAAAUAAACCAGAUUUCAUCACUGAAAAAAAUCACAAUUGAAAAAUUGACAAGAGACAUUUAACAGACUCAGAAUCAUAAACCUAGUCACUGGAAAUUGAUUCUGAGAAGCAAAAAAGAGAAAGGGAUAAAGAAAUGUGAACAGAACCUAAGGGACACCAUCAAGCAAACCAACAUAUGCAUUAAAGGAGUUCCAGGAGGAACAAAGACAGGCAGCAUGAUGGAGGAGACAAGGGCAGAAAACAUCAAAUUUGAAGAAAGACAUGAAUCUACAAAUCCAAGAAUUUCAUUAAAUUCCAAGUAGGAUAAACUGAAAGGGACCUGCACUAACACAUUAUAAUCAAACUGUUAAAGCCAAAGAGAGAAUCUUGAAAGCAGCAAGAGAUAUGACUUGUCACAUAUAAGCAAUCCUUAAUAAAAUUAUCAUCAGAUUUCUCAGCAGAUACCUGGGUAGCCAGGAGGCUGUGCCAUGAUAUAUUUAAAGUGCUGAAAGAAAAGUCUCAGCAAAGAGUUCCAUAUCUGACAAAACGGUCCUUCAAAAAUGACCGAAAUUAAGACAUUCUCCCAAAUGUCUUAAUUAUUUCGGGAGACAUGUCUCCCAAAAUUAAGACAUUCUCAGAGAAAGCAGCAGCUGGGGGCGAGUUCAUUACUACUAGACCUGCCCUUCAAGAAAUUCUGAAGGGAAUCCUAAAAUUUAAAAUGGAAUGCUUCAGAUAGUAACUGUAAGCCAUACAAAAAUAUGGAGAUCUAUAGUAAAAGUAAAUACAUGGACAAAUUGGUUGGUAUAAAUAUAACAGACUAUUGCAACUUUAGGCUGCUAAUGUAAUCUCUGUGUUAACCACAGAGAAAACAGUCCUAGAAUACAGAUCAAGGAAAUGAGAAUUAAUUACAAGAGAAAAAAAAUGGCUCAACACAAAAGGCAGUAAUGGAGGAAAUGAGGGGCAUGACACAUACAGAAAACAACGAAAUUACAAAGUCGGUCCUUCCCUACCAGUAAUUUCUUUUUUUAUUUUUUGAGAUAGAGUCUUGCUCUGUCACCCAGGCUGGAGUGCAGUGGUGCAAUCUCAGCUCACUAUACCCUUUCGCCUCCCAGGUUCAGGCAAUUCUCUGCCUCAGCCUCCCAAGUAGCUGGAAUUACAGGCAUGCACCACCACACCCAGCUAAUCUAUGUAUUUUAGUAGAGAUGACAUUUCGCCAUGUUGGCCAGGCUGGUCUUGAACUCCUGGCCUCAAGUGAUCUGCCUGCCUCAGCCUCCCAAAAUGCUGGGAUUACGAGUGUGAGCCAUUGCACCCCGCCCAGUAAUUUCUUGAAAUGUAAAUGAAUGGAACUCCAAUUGAUAGACACAUUUACAGAAUGGAUUUUUUAAAAAGAUUACAACUAUGUGCUGUCUACAAGAGACUCAUAUUUAGAUGGAAGGAGAUGCAUACGUUCAAUGUUAAAGGAUGGAAAAAACAGUAAUCACAGAGAAGUGGCUAUGCUAGUAUUAGACAAAAUAAGUCAAGCACUGUUUCAAGAGAAAAGGACAUUAUAUAUUGAUAAAAGGAUUAACUUACCAAGAAGAUAGAACAAUUAUAAGCAUCAUGCAUCAAAUAUCAGGGCUUCAAUAUAUAUAAAGCAAGCAUUGACAGACUUGAAGGGAGAAAUACUGUUCUACAAUAACAGUAAGAGAGUUUCAUACGCCACUUUUAAUGAUGGUUAAAACAACCUGACAGGAUCAAUAAGGAAACAGAGGAUUUGAACAAUGUGAUAGGCCAAAUGGACCUAACGUACAGAUCACCCAACAACCAGAGAAUGUAUACUUUUCUCAAGUGUACAUGGAUUAUUCACCAGAAUAGAUCAUGUUAGGCCACAAAGCAACUCUUAAUACAUUUUAAAGGGCAGAAAUGAUAAAGUAUCUUCUUUAAUCACAAUGCAAUGCAAUUAGAAGGAAAACUGGGAAAUCCAAAUGAACACACUUUUAAGCAACCAAUGUGUCAAAUAAGAAAUCACAAGGCAAACUAUAGAAUAUCUUGUGACAAAUGAUAGUAAAAUCACAAUAUGACAAAACUUACAGGAUGCCAUGAAAGCACUGCUGAAAAAGAAAUACAUAUUAAUAGCUGUAAACACAUUUAAGAAGAUCUCACAUCAACAACCUAAUUUUACAACGUAAAGAACUAAAACUAAACCCAAGGCUAGCUGAAGGAAGGAAAUAAAAAUUAGAGCAGAAAUAAAGAACAGAAACAUACAGAAAAAAAAAUCAACAAAACCAAGAGUUAAUUUGUCAAAAAGAUCAACAAAAUUGACAAACCUUUAGCUAGAUUGACAAAGAAAAAAAAAUAACUAAAAUUAGAGAUGAAAGUGAAGACAUUACUACCAGUUCUACAAAAAUAAAAAGGAUCCUAAGAAUACCAUGAACAAUUGUAUGCCAACAAAUUGAAUAACCUAGACGAAAGGGACAAACUCCUAGAAACACACAACCUACCAGGAUUGAAUAAUAGAGAAACAGAAAAUCUAAUUCAUCUUAUGAGGCCAGCAUGCUCCGGUACCAAAGCCAGAAAAGACACAAGACAACUACAGAUCAACAACCAUUAUGAAUGAAUAUUGAUUCAAACAUCUUCAGUGUAAUACUAGCAAAGCAAAUUCAACAGCAUAUUUAAAGGAUUAUUCACCAUGAGAACAUGGAGUUUACUCUUAGAAUGCAAGGUGGUUCAACAUAUGAAAGUCAGUGCAAUGCACCACACAUUAACAGAAUAGAGGGGGGGAACCACUUGAUCAACUCAUGCAGAAAAAGCAUUCUGACAAGAUACAACACCCUUUUAUAACAAAAACACUCAGCAAAAUAGAAGUAGAAGGAAAGUACCUCAACAUAAUGAAGUCCAUAUAUGAAAAACCCACAACCAAUCUCAUAAUAGUGAAUGGCUGAAACCUUUUCCAGUAAGAUCAAGAACAAACAAGGAUUUUUUUUUUUUUUUU
rnacentral:lncRNA from 1 species